AUAAUAACUUGUACAUUAUUUUACCUUGGCCUACUCGAAGUUCAUAACAAAUCGUUUCCCUUUUCACAAAUAAUUUAUAACUUAACCAAAAGAGACUAAAGAUUUAGAUAUUGGAGACAAUGUAAUAAUGCCAGUGUAAAGAGUAGACCAAAGACUGAUGAACUGUUAAAUUAUCAAAGGUGUUGUGCUAAAUAUUGCAGAAAAUGGAUACAAAAUAGGAACAAAAGUUGGAAUCGUGAUUGGAUUAAUGAGUCAGAAUCAAAUCGAAAAAUUUCAGAGAAAGGAUUUGACAAUAUUGAACACCGGACUGGUUAUCAUCAGGAAAGCAGUAACAUUUGUGUCUGGAUGGUUGUAAGGGAGCUACCAUUUGGGAGCUAGGAUGAAAUUUGUAUAAAAAUAGGCAGGACAGGAGUUUUGAGUAAAAAAAAAAGGCAGGAUGAGACACUUGCAAAAAAAAAAGUCAGGACUACAAUUUAGGUAAUAAAAAGUCAGGAUAAACUAAAAAAAAAAAAAGCAGGACCGAACAGAGUGAAAAAUAAAAAGGCAGGACAGAGAUUACAGGUAAAAAAAAAUGCAGGACAAAAUUUUCAUCCUAGCCCCCCCCCCCCCCCCAUAAAAAUCAAAUGGUAGCUCCCUAAGACAGGCAAAUGUAAACGCAAAAGAUUGGAACUUAUUGUGUCAUUCCAGAUGUAAUGCUU
rnacentral:lncRNA from 1 species